UAGGUGAGCUGUGAUUGACAGCUGACAUAACCUAUCAGGAAGGGGCAGUCCCUUUUUAAGCGCUGAUUGGGUGCUCCCUGCAAUGCGUCAUGUCCUGUGUUUCCCCGGGGUGUUUUUAACGAUAGCGACAGUGUGUCGUUUGUCCAGCGUGCUGGUGCCCUUCUACAUGUAGUGGUACAUGACUGUGUAACCUCAGUUGGCCGCUGGUUGAUCUGCUGUGGGUUAAGCUAUGCCAUAAAACUGUUAUUUGUCUGGGGUGAUACCACUAUUCGGGUUUUCCCUCUUGUUCUACGUCCUGUCCCUCGUGAGUGUUUGAUUCUCGUGCUGCUGAGUAGCAUCGCGGUAGCACCGACCUUAUCCUCUCUGCUGUAUGCUGGACUGUACACUGUCUGGUUUCUAAGUUCAGGGUUGAUUUUAAGAUCCGAGUGAAGGACUGUCCGGUGCAUUUGGAGUUGGCAAAUGGACUGUGGCGUUCGCGCAGUGUAGCUUCCCUUGCCUUUAACCCCUUUUGUUUCUUUUCUUUAUUUGUAUAUCAUUUUGUCUGAAUAUUUGUAUAUUGUUUAUACUUUUAGGUGCUGAGGUUCCCACGGGUGGAUGGAUCUUGUGGUGGUGGUGGUAACGUUUAAUGUUUACCGUGUUACACAUUUUUGAAGUGUAUAAGUGUGUGCUUUGAGUUCACCGUGUGGUGUGAAAUUGUGCUUGUGGAUAACUUGCGCCAGAGAUCACUCCGGUGGGUAGCCUCAGCCCUGUAGGUUGGUACUGUGUUAAUUUGUUUGUGCAUUCAAUUUGUUGCCGGUCAUUGCAUUUUAGCAGUGAGGGCAUUUUAUAUUAUGUUGUACUAUUUGUUGUUUUUGGUAUAAUUCUGUUUUGUGAUUAAUGUGGUGUAAUGUUUUGUGUCUUACUGUUAAAGUGUGACAGCUGGAGACCGGUUUUGAACAACCUCAUCAUGUCUGUUUAAAUCAUCCGUUUACCUGAUUAAAGUAAAUCAUGAAUAUUGUACAAUAAAUGAAUAUUUUUGUAUUAUACCCACGUCUCCUGCUCACUUUUACUGAGGAACGAACUUGUGCGCCGCCUUUUGGGUGUAAGGAUUAUUUCCCCGGGUGUAAGUCCCGGGGUGGCGUAGUCGGAAUUUUAUGUAAAAUCUUUGCUUUUGUCAUAAAGCUAUCCCCCAACCCCCUCGUCAUGCCACAUUUUGGCGUAUAGUCGGCAGGGUCCUCGAAUUUUGAGUGCAGAGACGUGGGUAUUUUUUUUGUGUGUAUGUUUGUUGUUUAUGUUUUGUAGGAACCAGACAGCGGCAGUUUUCGUGUUGGAAUCCCAGCACAAUUUGUUGCUGGGCUUGCGUGGUUCGAUCGGUUGCGGUAAGUGGUCCUUGGUUCUAGGAACGGAGGACGAAUCACAGUUUAAUAAAUUUAGAGGUUCCGUAAAGGUAAAUGGGUUAAGAACAAGAGGGAGAAUCUGAAUGUAUUGAUGGGUGAGGGCCAGCUGAGUUUUUAUGGGCAGGGUUAAAAAAAAUGGGGAUCGGGCAUGGCGUAUCAUUAAAGGCACCAUACAAUUGGUUGUCGUACCCUAAUCAUUCUGUAUGAUUCGUACAGUUCUGUUAUGUUUGAAGGUAGGGUAUUACCGAAAGGGGUUUUGCCUGUGACUUCAACUUUAUGAAGGGGUGGGGAGGUACAAAUCGGUCCCAUGUCAUUUAUGGUCAGAUGGGGUCCCUCAGAAACCUGGGGUGGAACCAUCUGAAGAGUUUAUUGGUAGGAGAUGUACCCCCCCAGGUCAGUCAUUUUCGGAUGGGGUCCCUCAGAGUCUGAGGUGGAACCAUCUGAUGAAUGUUGUAAUGCAGGAGAUGUAUUCCCGGGUUAGUCAAUUUAAUGUUGGGGUUAGGAGGUACUAAUCGGUCCCAGGAUAUUAGUUGUCGGAUGGGGUCCCUCAGAGUCUGAGGUGGAACCGUCCGAUGAGGGUUAUUGGUAGGAGAUGUACCCCCUCAAGGGAAGUUAUUUCCAGAUGGAGAAAAACCAUCUCAUACAUUUUAUUGCACCGGGAAGCUCUUGUUUUAGUCAUCUGUUACUGGAGAGGACGUCAGGUCAGUACUCCAACUGAUACCACUUCUUGUAAUUGGCAGGCACAGUGGUUGUGUCUUGCGGAGUGGAUUGUAAAUUUGGUGCCUUGUUCCGACCUUGGGGCUGAGCACCCUGAGGUGGGUUUUGUUUAGUUCACCGUCGGGGCGACGUUGCAGAAACUCGGGGUGGAUUGUAGCAGGAUUAGGUGAGCUGUGAUUGACAGCUGACAUAACCUAUCAGGAAGGGGCAGUCCCUUUUUAAGCGCUGAUUGGGUGCUCCCUGCAAUGCGUCAUGUCCUGUGUUUCCCCGGGGUGUUUUUAACGAUAGCGACAGGUGAGCUUUGUUAAUGUGCUGUUGUUCAUAGUUUUAAUCUGUGUAUGUUAUUUAAACUAGUUUGUGUUGGAUUCAGUGUGUCGUUUGUCCAGCGUGCUGGUGCCCUUCUACAUGUAGUGGUACAUGACUGUGUAACCUCAGUUGGCCGCUGGUUGAUCUGCUGUGGGUUAAGCUAUGCCAUAAAACUGUUAUUUGUCUGGGGUGAUACCACUAUUCGGGUUUUCCCUCUUGUUCUACGUCCUGUCCCUCGUGAGUGUUUGAUUCUCGUGCUGCUGAGUAGCAUCGCGGUAGCACCGACCUUAUCCUCUCUGCUGUAUGCUGGACUGUACACUGUCUGGUUUCUAAGUUCAGGGUUGAUUUUAAGAUCCGAGUGAAGGACUGUCCGGUGCAUUUGGAGUUGGCAAAUGGACUGUGGCGUUCGCGCAGUGUAGCUUCCCUUGCCUUUAACCCCUUUUGUUUCUUUUCUUUAUUUGUAUAUCAUUUUGUCUGAAUAUUUGUAUAUUGUUUAUACUUUUAGGUGCUGAGGUUCCCACGGGUGGAUGGAUCUUGUGGUGGUGGUGGUAACGUUUAAUGUUUACCGUGUUACACAUUUUUGAAGUGUAUAAGUGUGUGCUUUGAGUUCACCGUGUGGUGUGAAAUUGUGCUUGUGGAUAACUUGCGCCAGAGAUCACUCCGGUGGGUAGCCUCAGCCCUGUAGGUUGGUACUGUGUUCAUUUGUUUGUGUAUUCAAUUUGUUGCCGGUCAUUGCAUUUUAGCAGUGAGGGCAUUUUAUAUUAUGUUGUACUAUUUGUUGUUUUUGGUAUAAUUCUGUUUUGUGAUUAAUGUGGUGUAAUGUUUUGUGUCUUACUGUUAAAGUGUGACAGCUGGAGACCUGUUUUGAACAACCUCAUCAUGUCUGUUUAAAUCAUCCUUUUACCUGAUUAAAGUAAAUCAUGAAUAUUGUACAAUAAAUGAUUAUUUUUGUAUUAUA